CACGUAGGGUGCGAGCGUUGUCCGGAAUUAUUGGGCGUAAAGAGCUCGUAGGCGGUGUGUCGCGUCGGCCGUGAAAACCUGCAGCUUAACUGUGGGCUUGCGGUCGAUACGGGCAUCACUGGAGUUCGGCAGGGGAGACUGGAAUUCCUGGUGUAGCGGUGAAAUGCGCAGAUAUCAGGAGGAACACCGGUGGCGAAGGCGGAUCUCUGGGCCGAUACUGACGCUGAGGAGCGAAAUCGUGAAGAGCAAACAGG
rnacentral:rRNA from 1 species